GGAGAGAUGGCUCAGAGGUUAAGAGCACUGGACUGCUCUUCCAGAGGUCCUGAGUUCAAUUCCCAGCAACUACA
rnacentral:tRNA from 1 species